UAGAUAGAGGCAGCCUACAUAAGGCUGACGUUACAUAGGCCUCAUUCGUUCACUUCCCACAUGUCAUGUUCCCCUUAAUGCGUUCGUUCCUCACUGAAUGCAUGCCACAAGGCCGUGCAUUCACCGAGGAACGUUAAGUAAAGCUGGAACGUGACAUGUGGGAAGUGAACGAAUGAGGCCUAUGUAACGUCAUCCUAAUGUCCAUAACACAAUGUGCACUUGGAAGAGCAUUAUGAAGAGAGAAAAAUGGUAUUAAUUCGUUGCUUUGGCACACCAAACAUGCCAGGAACUGGAAACUGAGUAAAGUUUGGAACAACCGCUGUCUAACGUUACAAACAAGUGACCACGAAUAAACCAGGUUUGCCGAAAUGGAUAUGGAUAAUACAUCAACAAACUCUCAAGAUCACAGCUAUUCCAAUCCAGCAGGAAAUGUUAUGAAGCAACCUCCCAAGAGUCACAGAUACUGCUGUGUACCUCACUGCACCAGUCGUGGUUACAACAAAGAUGAUGAGCAUGGUGAAAAAUUGCACCACUUCAGAUUUCCAGAUUUUUUGGUGCAAAUACUAGUAGUACAACUGUAUUGAUGCUUUCUCUUUUUCUGUAUCUAUUAUCCUUGAAAAUACAUACUACUAAUGUCAUUGGCAUUAAAA